AUUGAACGCUGGCGGCAGGCCUAACACAUGCAAGUCGAGUGGAUGAAGGGAGCUUGCUCCUGGAUUCAGCGGCGGACGGGUGAGUAAUGCCUAGGAAUCUGCCUGGUAGUGGGGGAUAACGUCCGGAAACGGGCGCUAAUACCGCAUACGUCCUGAGGGAGAAAGUGGGGGAUCUUCGGACCUCACGCUAUCAGAUGAGCCUAGGUCGGAUUAGCUAGUUGGUGGGGUAAAGGCCUACCAAGGCGACGAUCCGUAACUGGUCUGAGAGGAUGAUCAGUCACACUGGAACUGAGACACGGUCCAGACUCCUACGGGAGGCAGCAGUGGGGAAUAUUGGACAAUGGGCGAAAGCCUGAUCCAGCCAUGCCGCGUGUGUGAAGAAGGUCUUCGGAUUGUAAAGCACUUUAAGUUGGGAGGAAGGGCAGUAAGUUAAUACCUUGCUGUUUUGACGUGACCAACAGAAUAAGCACCGGCUAACUUCGU
rnacentral:rRNA from 1 species